rnacentral:lncRNA from 1 species
UUUUUUUUUUCUGAUUUAUCGAAAGCAAAUUUAUAAUGCAUUAGGUGUGUACAUGAAAGUAUCACAAUAAAAUGAUUCUGUUUUCUAAUUUGCUCUGUUGUAGUCUGUUCUUUUUCAUUUAGAAAAACAAAAGGAAAGGAAAGGAAAUAGAAACCAAGAAUGGUGGGGCAUGCCUGUAGUUCCAGCACUUGGGAGACAGAGGCAGGCGGAUUUCUGAGUUCGAGGUCAGCCUGGUCUACAAAGUGAGUUCCAGGACAGCCAGGGCUACACAGAGAAACCCUGUCUCGAAAAACAAAAACAAACAAACAAACAAAAGAGUUCAAGCGAGCAUCUUCUAGGGUAGUGAGUUUAAGGCCAGUUUAGGCUACAUGAGACCCUGCCUCAAAAACAAAUAAGAAUACAAACUUACCAUCACUAUACAUAUUUUGUUUGUUUGUUUUUUUAAACGAUAGGGCAAAAUCACUGUUUUCAGUUAUGGUCUGAAAGUAGCAAAAGCGAUGCUGGCCUCAGUUGGCAGAUUAUUUGUCUAGCAUGAGUGCCCUGAGUUUGAUUUGCUUCCCCACCACUGCAUAUACCAGGUAAUGAUCUCACACGUGUAGUCUCAGUGGGAACAGAAGAGUCAGAAAGUUCUUCAGGUUCCUCCGGUGAAUAGGAGGAAGUUUGAAGCCUACUUGGGCAAAUGAGACCUUGUUUCAAAAACAAAAUAAAUGGUUUAAAUAUAGAAAAGUUAAUUUUAAGAUGAGUUCCUAGUUAUGGACAGUGGAAACACUAUAGCAGUCAGUAAGGUCAAUAGAUGAGAACUCGGAUCUGUGAGAAUCUUAACAUUUAAGCCUUUACCAGUGAAUAAUUUUUUUUCUGUGCAGGUCAAAUUUUUAACUAAAUCAGCAAGCAAAAAAUACCAUUUAGGUAAAACUGGUUAUUUCCAGUAAAGUAAAACAUAUUUAUAGAAUUAACUUCGUAUUUUCCUGUAUGGUGAUCAGGGUAGAGCGAACAUGGUAAAGUCAAAAAUAGCAUUUAAACCUGUACUGUUGCCAUUGAUCCUAGAUUUCUAAUUUCUUCAUUGAAAUUUGCUCAGAAUGCGACUUAGUUGUUACCUGCUAUUGGUGGUCCAGAAAGUACAGCUAUCCCGGCAAAGAAACUGGCAUAUCCCAAAAACUUGUGUACUCUAGAAUUCUUAGAUAGGUCAACCUGUAGGGAAUGAGAAUUUAGUGUGAGCCGUUUUAAGGAUGAACUUCUCCAGUGUCUUAUGUUUACAAAGCGGUGACAAAUAUCAUUAAAAGCAAAGCAAACCAAACCAGAAAACCACACUCAAACUGAACAGUUUGACUCCUGGGAUGAUUUAGUUGGCUUUUCUUUUUUUUUUUUUUUAAAGAUUUAUUUAUUUAUUAUAUGUAAGUACACUGUAGCUAUGUUCAGACACUCCAGAAGAGGGCGUCAGAUCUUGUUACAGAUGGUUGUGAGCCUCCAUGUGGUUGCUGGGAUUUGAACUCCGGACCUUUGGAAGAGCAGUCGGGUGCUCUUACCCACUGAGCCAUCUCACCAGCCCUUAGUUGGCUUUUCAUCCCCAGUGUUAGGGAAGGGAAUAGAUGUCAACUAGGGAGCUAGGAUUGGCAAGGCAGAGUAAGUGUUUUUAGUUUAUCAGUGGGGGAACAUUGGUGUUUGGUCUAGAUAGAUUAACCUUUUAUAUAGUUCAAGAGUGUUUUUACCUCCCAAACCUUAAUGAUCUUCCUUCUCAAUUAGGAAAUAGUAUUUUGCAAUCUGUGCUUAUAUUAAUGUUGAAUCCACCUGUGGCUUAUUACCAACCAUGGGUUUAUAAGAAAUCUGGUAACACAGGAACUGAUUUCAUCUUUGGGAACCUGGGAUUUUUGCCUAAGCCUCAUGCACUUUCCUACACAACUUAAAAACCAUUUUAAUUCCAUUUGAGUUCAGGAUUUAAGUUUGAGCUUAAUAUAGAGAUCUUGUUAAAACAAUGUCCUUAAAGUACAUAGGAUUCAAGGCAGCACACAGAUGCAAUCCUUAUUAGCAGACUUAUAUACUUGUAUCCUAGCAAGACCUAGAGACCCCUGGAGCCUCAUGGAGAGGAGUAAACACAAGGAGAGUUGGAGUCUUGCUGGUCUCUGUGUUCCUCUUUAUCCUGUUCUGUGUGGUUAGUCCUCUUAGCUUCUGUUCCUCACAUGGUUAGAUGAAUAAUGACAGUAUAUAACUAACUGCAAGAUUUCUGAAGUCUUGUGUAGUUUUUAAAUCAUAAAGUUAAUAUAAAAUUUGAAUUCUUAGGAAGGCUGUUACUGUACUGAGUCAUUUAUUACUAAGGAAUGAGUCUACUCACCAAUACUGGCAGUAUUAGUGCCAGGUAGCCACCAGCAAAAAUGGCAAAAAGGAUGGUAUAGGCCAUAAGGAGUGGGAAUGUGGUGGCUAAAGGAGCAAGCAGGUUAGUCACACCACACAGAAUGAGGUAAGACUUGUGGUAUUGAUACUUCUUGAUCCAAUUUUGAUCAGCAAUCCAUCCAGAAAUGAGCUGACUGACUGUCUCAGUGAUACCUGGAACAGUGAAUACAAAGUCACUCAAUCUGUUUUGUAAGAAUGUCAGUGUCUAAGUGUCUUUGCCCAAGGAGUAGGAUGCCAUCCUGAGGCCAGAGGAUAGGAGGGAAAAAUGGUUUCAUAGUGAAAUAGGAUAUGUACCUUACUUUUUAAAACACCUAGUAAAAUACCAGGAUGCUGCUUCCAGCUGAAUAUGAAACCAUUAAGUUGUCAUGUAUGUUCUCUAAUUGUAUGUGGGAUCCCUGUUGACAAGACCAUGGUCUGAAGAGGUCCAACAAGUGAGGAUAUGAAACCUCAGUGUCCCGAGGAGUCAUAUGGUGAAAUGAGAGAAAUCAAAUAAAAUCUUAUAUUAAAAAUAUAGACACUGGGACUCUUCUAUGAAACUUUGGAAUUUAAGGCCUCCAAUGGUUGUUAAAGUUAAUUUGAAAAUACAUAAGUCGUUUAUAUAUGUCAUUUGGUAUGGUGUAAUGAGUAAAGUUUAAGAAGCACUUUUUUUUUUUCUAUUCAGCAUUGUUACUGUUUACCCUAUUCUAAGGCAUAAUACCAGUUAAAAAUACCAAAAGUCAAUAUCAUGAAGCCAGGGGUGGUGAGUGCCUUUAAUUCCAGCACUUGGGAGGCAAAGGUAGAUAUCUUGUGAAUUUCAUCCAGGCCACCCCGGUCUGCAUGGUAAGUUCUAAGACAGAUUGAGCCACAUGAUGAGACCAAGUCUCAAAAACAGAACCAUGAGUAAUGCUGGGGAUAGAAGGCUUAGUGGUCCAGUACUACUUCACAGGUGUGAAGUAUGAGAAAGCCAGUAUGAUCUCAAGUUGGUUUGAAUUUUAGGGGUUCAAACAAACUGCUCCAUUAGUCUCCUAGGAUGCACACUGAGACUGUAUUACACUAUUUGGCCUAAUUUGUAUAGCCUUAAUCUGAUCCAAAUGGAUUCUAUCGGACAGUAAAAGAAAAUGGUUAACCAAAGCUACUCUUAUGAAACAGCAUUUUUUGACGGAAGCUUUCUUCAGUGAGAACCUUUGAAACUAGGUGUCUUCAGCUUUGUAAGGGCUUUCUCCCCAAGAAAUCUGUAGAAGAAAAGUUAAGUUGAAUGUUGAGAAUUGUCCAGUUGGAGCAAAACAAUUCAAUCUCAUUCUUUGUUUCAGACUUCCUGUCUGGUCAGUUGAGAGAAUCUACAACUUAAGUAUUUGACCAUCCAACAUUUUGUGAUUACAUAGAAUAAUUGUUUUUGUGUUUUUAACAUACAUUCUAUUUUAAACACAAGCCUGUGGAUUAGUGACUAACUCAACAGGAAAAUUGCUUAGCAUUAAGUACCAGUAGAACAUUAUGCUAGCCUGGCACUACACUACAUUACAUAUACAUUACAUUCAUAAUCUGACAGUUGGGAGGGAAAGCAGUGUAUUAUGCCUAUCCUAUAGGAAAAGGAAAUCCUGACCUGGAGGAGAAUGCCUUGCCCAAGGUCACACAGCC